UUGGAGGGCAAGUCUGGUGCCAGCAGCCGCGGUAAUUCCAGCUCCAAUAGCGUAUAUUAAAGUUGUUGCAGUUAACAAGCUCGUAGUUGAAUUUCGGGAUCAACAUGUCGGUCGUGCCUCCGGUACGUACUGGCAUCGUUGGUUUCUACCUUCUGACAAACCAUGAUGUCAUUAAUUUGGUGUCAUGGGGAAUCAGGACUGUUACUUUGAAAAAAUUAGAGUGUUUAAAGCAGGCACACGCUUGAAUACAUUAGCAUGGAAUAAUGAAAUAGGACGUUUGACCCUAUUUUGUUGGUUUCUAGGAUCGACGUAAUGAUUAAUAGGGAUAGUUGGGGGCAUUAGUAUUCAAUUGUCAGAGGUGAAAUUCUUGGAUUUAUUGAAGACUAACUACUGCGAAAGCAUUUGCCAAGGAUGUUUUCAUUAAUCAAGAACGAAAGUUAGGGGAUCGAAGACGAUCAGAUACCGUCGUAGUCUUAACCAUAAUCUAUGCCGACUAGGGAUCGGAUGAUGUUAAUUUUUUAAUGACUCAUUCGGCGCCUUACGGGAAAC
rnacentral:rRNA from 1 species